rnacentral:rRNA from 1 species
GACGUAGGAUGCAAGCGUUGUCCGGAAUUAUUGGGCGUAAAGAGUUCGUAGGCGGUUACUUAAGUCUGGUGUUAAAGACGGGAGCUCAACUCCCGCAUGGCAUUGGAAACUGGGUGGCUAGAGUACGGUAGAGGUCUCGGGAAUUCCAGGUGUAGCGGUGAAAUGCGUAGAUAUCUGGAGGAACACCGGUGGCGAAAGCGCGAGACUGGGCCGUAACUGACGCUGAGGAACGAAAGCCAGGGGAGCGAAAGGG